rnacentral:rRNA from 1 species
ACGGGUGAGUAAUGCAUCGGAACGUGCCCAUGUCGUGGGGGAUAACCACGCGAAAGCGUAGCUAAUACCGCAUACGCCCUGAGGGGGAAAGCGGGGGAUUCUUCGGAACCUCGCGCGAUUGGAGCGGCCGAUGUCAGAUUAGCUAGUUGGUGAGGUAAAGGCUCACCAAGGCGACGAUCUGUAGCGGGUCUGAGAGGAUGAUCCGCCACACUGGGACUGAGACACGGCCCAGACUCCUACGGGAGGCAGCAGUGGGGAAUUUUGGACAAUGGGCGCAAGCCUGAUCCAGCCAUGCCGCGUGAGUGAAGAAGGCCUUCGGGUUGUAAAGCUCUUUCGGCCGGGAAGAAAUCGGCGACUCUAACAUAGUCGCUGGAUGACGGUACCGGACUAAGAAGCACCGGCUAACUACGUGCCAGCAGCCGCGGUAAUACGUAGGGUGCGAGCGUUAAUCGGAAUUACUGGGCGUAAAGCGUGCGCAGGCGGUUUUGUAAGACAGAUGUGAAAUCCCCGGGCUUAACCUGGGAACUGCGUUUGUGACUGCAAGGCUAGAGUACGGCAGAGGGGGGUGGAAUUCCUGGUGUAGCAGUGAAAUGCGUAGAUAUCAGGAGGA